rnacentral:rRNA from 1 species
UACGUAGGGUGCAAGCGUUGUCCGGAAUUAUUGGGCGUAAAGAGCUCGUAGGCGGUUUGUCGCGUCUGCUGUGAAAUCCCAGGGCUUAACCCUGGGCCUGCAGUGGGUACGGGCAAACUAGAGUACUGCAGGGGAGACUGGAAUUCCUGGUGUAGCGGUGGAAUGCGCAGAUAUCAGGAGGAACACCGGUGGCGAAGGCGGGUCUCUGGGCCGAUACUGACGCUGAGGAGCGAAAGCGUGGGGAGCGAACAGG